rnacentral:rRNA from 1 species
GGAAUCUUCCACAAUGGACGAAAGUCUGAUGGAGCAACGCCGCAUGAGUGAAGAAGGUUUUCGGAUCGUAAAGCUCUGUUGUUGGUGAAGAAGGAUAGAGGCAGUAACUGGUCUUUAUUUGACGGUAAUCAACCAGAAAGUCACGGCUAACUACGUGCCAG